rnacentral:rRNA from 1 species
GACGAACGCUGGCGGCGUGCCUAACACAUGCAAGUCGAACGGGGAAGUAAAGCUUGCUUUACUUUCUAGUGGCGGACGGGUGAGUAAUGCGUGAGCAACCUGCCUAUUAGAGGGGGAUAACGUUCGGAAACGAAUGCUAAUACCGCAUAUAGUACAUAAUUCACAUGAAUAAGUGUAUAAAAGGAGUAAUCCGCUAAUAGAUGGGCUCACGUCCGAUUAGUUAGUUGGUGGGGUAAAGGCCUACCAAGACCGCGAUCGGUAGCCGGGUUGAGAGACUGAACGGCCACAUUGGGACUGAGAUACGGCCCAGACUCCUACGGGAGGCAGCAGUGGGGGAUAUUGCACAAUGGGGGAAACCCUGAUGCAGCAACGCCGCGUGAGGGAUGAAGGUUUUCGGAUUGUAAACCUCUGUCCUUAGGGAAGAAAAGAAUGACGGUACCUAAGGAGGAAGCUCCGGCUAACUACGUGCCAGCAGCCGCGGUAAUACGUAGGGAGCGAGCGUUGUCCGGAAUUAUUGGGUGUAAAGGGUGCGUAGGCGGCUAAAUAAGUCAGGCGUGUAAUUCAGAGGCUUAACCUCUAGACUGCGUUUGAAACUGUUUAGCUUGAGUGGAGUAGAGGCAGAUGGAAUUUCCAGUGUAGCGGUGAAAUGCGUAGAUAUUGGAAGGAACACCAGUGGCGAAGGCGAUCUGCUGGACUCUAACUGACGCUGAGGCACGAAAGCAUGGGGAGCAAACAGGAUUAGAUACCCUGGUAGUCCAUGCCGUAAACGAUGAUUACUAGGUGUGGGGGGACUGACCCCCUCCGUGCCGGAGUUAACACAAUAAGUAAUCCACCUGGGAAGUACGAUCGCAAGGUUGAAACUCAAAGGAAUUGACGGGGGCCCGCACAAGCAGUGGAGUAUGUGGUUUAAUUCGAAGAUACGCGAAAAACCUUACCAGGUCUUGACAUCCAACUAACGAAGUAGAGAUACAUUAGGUGCCCUUCGGGGAAAGUUGAGACAGGUGGUGCAUGGUUGUCGUCAGCUCGUGUCGUGAGAUGUUGGGUUAAGUCCCGCAACGAGCGUAACCCCUACGGUUAGCUGCUACGAAAGAGCACUCUAACAGGACUGCCGUUGACAAAACGGAGGAAGGUGGGGAUGACGUCAAAUCAUCAUGCCCUUUAUGACCUGGGCUACACACGUACUACAAUGGCCGUCAACAGAGGGAUACAAAGGAGCAAUCCGGAGUCAACCCCUAAAAACGGUCUCAGUUCAGAUUGCAGGCUGCAACUCGCCUGUAUGAAGUCGGAAUUGCUAGUAAUCGCAGAUCAGCAUGCUGCGGUGAAUACGUUCCCGGGCCUUGUACACACCGCCCGUCAUACCAUGGGAGCCGGUAAUACCCAAAGUCAGUUGUCUAACCUUCGGGAGG